rnacentral:rRNA from 1 species
UUCUGGCUCAGGACGAACGCUGGCGGCGUGCCUAACACAUGCAAGUCGAGCGGAGACAGGGAGUAGCUUGCUACGAGCUGUUUUAGCGGCGGACGGGUGAGUAACGCGUGAGCAACCUUUCCCAGACAGGGGAAUAACACACCGAAAGGUGUACUAAUACCGCAUAAGACCACGGAAUCACAUGGUUCUGGGGUAAAAGAUUUAUCGGUUUGGGGUGGGCUCGCGUCCGAUUAGGUAGUUGGUGAGGUAACGGCCCACCAAGCCGACGAUCGGUAGCCGACCUGAGAGGGUGAUCGGCCACAUUGGGACUGAGACACGGCCCAAACUCCUACGGGAGGCAGCAGUGGGGAAUAUUGGGCAAUGGAGGAAACUCUGACCCAGCAACGCCGCGUGGAGGAAGAAGGUUUUCGGAUCGUAAACUCCUGUCCUUGGGGACGAGUAGAAGACGGUAUCCAAGGAGGAAGCCCCGGCUAACUACGUGCCAGCAGCCGCGGUAAUACGUAGGGGGCAAGCGUUGUCCGGAAUAAUUGGGCGUAAAGGGCGCGUAGGCGGCUCGGUAAGUCUGGAGUGAAAGUCCUGCUUUUAAGGUGGGAAUUGCUUUGGAUACUGUCGGGCUUGAGUGCAGGAGAGGUUAGUGGAAUUCCCAGUGUAGCGGUGAAAUGCGUAGAGAUUGGGAGGAACACCAGUGGCGAAGGCGACUAACUGGACUGUAACUGACGCUGAGGCGCGAAAGUGUGGGGAGCAAACAGGAUUAGAUACCCUGGUAGUCCACACUGUAAACGAUGAAUGCUAGGUGUAGGGGGUAUCGACCCCUUCUGUGCCGCAGUCAACACAAUAAGCAUUCCGCCUGGGGAGUACGGCCGCAAGG